GAUGAACGCUAGCGGGAGGCUUAACACAUGCAAGUCGAGGGGCAGCAUAGGGUAGCAAUACUCUGAUGGCGACCGGCAAACGGGUGAGUAACGCGUAUGCAACCUACCCUGUACAGGGGGAUAACCCGGAGAAAUUCGGACUAAUAUCCCGUAAUAAUAUCCGGAGGCAUCUUUGGAUAUUUAAAGUUCCGACGGUACGGGAUGGGCAUGCGUAACAUUAGCUGGUUGGUAAGGUAACGGCUUACCAAGGCUAUGAUGUUUAGGGGUCCUGAGAGGGUGGUCCCCCACACUGGUACUGAGACACGGACCAGACUCCUACGGGAGGCAGCAGUGAGGAAUAUUGGUCAAUGGGCGCAAGCCUGAACCAGCCAUCCCGCGUGCAGGAAGACGGCCCUAUGGGUUGUAAACUGCUUUUCCAGGGAGAGAAACUUACGCACGUGUUGCGUGACUGACGGUACCCUGGGAAUAAGCAUCGGCUAACUCCGUGCCAGCAGCCGCGGUGAUCUCGUCUCUA
rnacentral:rRNA from 1 species